GACGAACGCUGGCGGCGUGCUUAACACAUGCAAGUCGAACGAUGAACCCGGAGCUUGCUCUGGGGGAUUAGUGGCGAACGGGUGAGUAACACGUGAGUAACCUGCCCUGGACUCUGGGAUAAGCGUUGGAAACGACGUCUAAUACCGGAUAGGACCUUGGAUCGCAUGAUCUGGGGUGGAAAGUUUUUUCGGUCUGGGAGGACUCGCGGCCUAUCAGCUUGUUGGUGAGGUAAUGGCUCACCAAGGCGUCGACGGGUAGCCGGCCUGAGAGGGUGACCGGCCACACUGGGACUGAGACACGGCCCAGACUCCUACGGGAGGCAGCAGUGGGGAAUAUUGCACAAGGGGCGAAAGCCUGAUGCAGCAACGCCGCGUGCGGGAUGACGGCCGUCGGGUUGUAAACCGCUUUUAGUAGGGAAGAAGGGCUUCGGCUUGACGGUACCUGCAGAAAAAGGACCGGCUAACUACGUG
rnacentral:rRNA from 1 species